AGCAGCCGCGGUAAUUCCAGCUCCAAUAGCGUAUAUUAAAGUUGUUGCAGUUAAAAAGCUCGUAGUUGAAUUUCGGGGUCAGUAGGUUGGUCGUGCCACAGGUAUGAACUGGUCUCACUGAUUCCUCCUUCCUGAUGAACCGUAAUGCCAUUAAUUUGGUGUUGCGGGGAGACUGGACUGUUACUUUGAAAAAUUAGAGUGUUUAAAGCAGGCUAACGCUUGAAUACAUUAGCAUGGAAUAAUGAAAUAGGACGUUCGGUCUUAUUUUGUUGGUUUCUAAGAUUGACGUAAUGAUUAAUAGGGAUAGUUGGGGGCAUUAGUAUUCAAUUGUCAGAGGUGAAAUUCUUGGAUUUAUUGAAGACUAACUACUGCGAAAGCAUUUGCCAAGGAUGUUUUCAUUAAUCAAGAACGAAAGUUAGGGGAUCGAAGACGAUCAGAUACCGUCGUAGUCUUAACCAUAA
rnacentral:sRNA from 1 species